GGCCUAUGCUCUGGGAUAGCCCUUAGAAAUGAGGAUUAAUACGAGAUGGUCUCCUUUGAUCGCCUGAGAUUAGGAGUAAAGACUUGUCGGCAUAGGAUGGGGAUGCGUUCCAUUAGAUAGUUGGCGGGGUAACGGCCCACCAAGUCGAUGAUGGAUAGGGGUUCUGAGAGGAAGGUCCCCCACAUUGGUACUGAGACACGGACCAAACUCCUACGGGAGGCAGCAGUGAGGAAUAGUUGGUCAAUGGGCGGAAGCCUGAACCAGACCAAGUAGCGUGAAGGAAGACCGGCCCUACGGGUUGUAAACUUCUUUUGUCGGGGAAUAACCGUCGGCACGUGUGCCGACCUGCAUGUACCCGGUGAAUAAGGACCGGCUAAUUCCGUGCCAGCCGCAGC
rnacentral:rRNA from 1 species